rnacentral:rRNA from 1 species
UGCUUGGGCGUGCCUCCAUCCACGCCGGCGUCGGCGGGCGUAUUUCGCCUCACAGUAGGUCGCCGCGACCCGUUGCUUUUGGGGACGUCGAAGGCCCGGACGGAUUGGUACCCUACCGGCUGGGGAUGCGGCUUCGGCUUCUCCUCUUGUCCGGUGGGCGAAACCGCCGGUGUCCUGGCUGCCCUGCGACGGUCGUAGAGACGAGCCCUCCCCUUCGGGGGGGCGGCUCUCGCGGCGUGCAAAAGGUCGGUGAUCCACCCGACCCGUCUUGAAACACGGACCAAGGAGUCUAACAUGUGUGCGAGUCAGUGGGCGCACUAAACCCAGAGGCGUAAUGAAAGUGACACGGGUUCGGCUGUCGCCUCGUGUGGCAGCCGGACUCAGGGCCGAUCCCUCACCGGUUGCCCUCGCCUCUCUCCCGCGUCUCGGUAAGCCGGGUGAGCUAUUUUCCCCGGCCGCUGCUGCGGGGCUCGGGGGGAGGCGGGGUGCGAUGGUGUCUGUAAAAAAGAGCCUGCUGUUGCAGGGGGGCGCAGGCCCGGGACUUGCCAGGACGCCGCGAGACUGUCACUUUGCUGUGAGGCUCUCGGGCCGAUCAGCGGGUCAUGCGUGCAGUCGGCAAGUACCAUGAGCAGACAUGUUGGGACCCGAAAGAUGGUGAACUAUGCCUGGCCAGGAUGAAGCCAGAGGAAACUCUGGUGGAGGUCCGUAGCGAUUCUGACGUGCAAAUCGAUC